GUGAGGGUCAGAAAGAUAGAAAGGAGAGAGAGCAGCACUGGGAGAAGACAUGAGAAAUUAGAUCAGAAUCUAAAAGCACUCAGGAGAGCAGGGAAAAAGGCAGAAAUUAGAACAGGAGCUAAGAGGAGAGCCGAAGAGGCAAUAAAAACUCAAGGAGGAGAAAGAAAAACUGCAAGAUGAAGAGAGGAGGACAGGAAAAAAAGGGCAGGAGAUAAAUAUGAGGCAACAUAAAAGGGCCUUGAUCUCCAGUUUGUAAAGAUGACGUGAUCUGUGGUGUGAAAGAAAAGAAAUACUUUGCAUUUUUUGAAAUGGCCAUGAGGAGAGGACCAGGCUACAUCUCAGAAAUCAAUAUCACAUUUUAUGCCUGCUGCACCCUUCACGAAGAAUCAAGACAACAUUGAUUCAAGACACCAGAAGAUCUAACUAAGUCAGAAUGUCUCAGUUACAGUCCAGAUUUCUAUUUAUUACCUACCUCACCGAGAAAGACAAGCCUUGUGCAGGCAUUUGUCACAAGCCAAAUUUGGAGCAAAUUCUCUGCAGAAGAAACGAGGAAUGAAGAGUGGGCAAGACUGUGUUGGUGUUUCUGUUCAUCUUGAAGGAGGGAACCUUCUGCUGCAGCUCUCAAGUGAUGCUCGAGGGGAAGAACAGCACGUACAAGGAGGAGAGCCAAGUGCCUGCCACUAGAGAGAAGCCCUGGGGACAGCACCAAGGUAAGGGCCCUCACCAGCCACUCAGAAAAUGCUUUCCUUGUGACUUUUGCUGCCCCACUCACCUUCCUCCCAUGUCCUGUCAUUUCCCUCAUCCCAUUUUGCACAAUGACAGGAAAACCUGAGGUUUUACACAGGUUUCUGCAGGGAGGAGCAAGUUUCAAGCUGCUUACCUUGCCUAAAAAGAGGAGUAGGGUUACACCAGAGGUCCUGCAAGCCCCUCACCAACUCCUCUGAGCUUAGGGGUGCUCAGCCUGGAGAAAAGGAGGCUCAUGGGGGACCUUAUCACUCCUACAGCUCCCUGAUAGGAGGUGCAGCCAGGUGUGGGCUGGUCUCUUCCCCCAGGUGACAAGCCACAGGACAAGAGGAAGAAACUCAAGUUGCACCAGGGGAGGUUUAUGUUGGAUAUUAGGGAAAAUUUCAUCACUGAGAGGGUGCUCAAGCACUGGAACAAGUUGUCCAAAGAAGAAGUGCACUCACUAUACCUGAAGGUCCUCAAAAAAUGUGUGGAUACGGUGCUCAGGAACAUGGUUUAGUGCUAGACCUGGCAGUGUUGGGUUAAUGGUUGAACUGAUGAUCUCAGAGGUCUUUUCCCACCUUAAUGAUUCCAUGAUUCCAUCGCCCCUGUGAUUCUAUGGUCCCACCUUAAUGAUUCCAUGAUUCUAUGGCCCCUGUGGCAGAAACUCCCAGCAGAUUGUACAGAAAAAUGUCAGAAGUCAAACUAAUUCUUCUCAUGAGGUAUUUUCCUUGUUCCUAUCACGCAGUGCAUUAGAGACUGGCAAUAGAAGUUGCAUAAAACAAGAAUGUUUAAUCGUAUUUUAAGUUGAUUAUAUUUUUGGUAUUCUUUUGGCAGAAAGUCCUGCAAUUUAAUUAACUAAUUGUGCUGCAUGACAAAAUUUUAUUCACUUUAAACCUCUUUUGCUCCUUGUAUUAACAUAGUCUAUAAAUAUUCCCCUCCUAAGAACAUUCUCCAUAACAUUUGCCACGGCAUAAACUUCAGCCCCCUCCUCCCAAAGAGUUCUAAAUUUAUCUGGUUUAUCCUGGCAUGGAAGCAGAUACAUACAAUUACUGACAAGACAACCACUAUCAAACCCAACUGUUGUUACCCAGACUGAAAUUCUUCCAAAAAUUAAUUAUUUAAAAUAAUCCAAACGGUGCAAAUAUCCAAAGAUCAGACAGAUCCAUAAAACUUGCCUGUAGCAAAAUCAUGCAAUUAGAAUCAUGCUCAUAAGUGUUGCAGUCUUAAAACAUUAAUGGAAGGAGUUAUUAAAAUUGUAUUUGAUUUGCAUUAUUACAACACUGAAUGCACUAUGGAAAACUGAGUCCAUGAGAGAGGUGCGGCACAAGCCAGAGUCUUAUUAUCUGAGUUGGAACUUUAAAAUAGACUCUGCUUUACAGUUCUGCCUGAAUUUUCUUUAGUUUUAUUGCUCUUGUAAAUUGAUAAGGAUUCCUGGUUUUAUAUUAGAAAUAGAAAAUGAGGAGGAGGAUAAGAAAAUAGUUGUAGAUAAAGACUCAGAAAAGCAAUUUGAGAAAAAAACAAUCCUUCCCAAAGUAAGUAAUUUUUAUCAGAAAUAAGAUGUGUUGUUGUGAUCAUAAGUGCCAUCAGAAGCCCCAAGAAUUGCAGGGUUUCUGUAGACAACCUAGGGAAAAGUUUCCCCAAAUGUGGAAGCAAUUAUAAAGAAAUUCAUGACUCACAGUAAGAAUUCCUGGUUUUAUUUCCAUUACAAAUAGACUGCAAUUUGUGCAUCUCUGUCUGACAUCUUUUUAUUGGGCACUUACCCUUCCUGACAUGUUUAUAAAAUUACCUGCUUCAUUAGUGGGACAUCACCAGCAAAUAUUGCC